GCCCCGUUCCGUGGGAGCCCGAUCGUCGGGCUGAGAGGGCAUCGUGCCGACCACCAGCACUGGAUGCGGAUAAUGCCGCCGUCAGGAGGACCCUUCAUGCAGCA
rnacentral:ncRNA from 2 species